rnacentral:rRNA from 1 species
AUUGAACGCUGGCGGCAUGCCUUACACAUGCAAGUCGAACGGCAGCACGGGAGCAAUCCUGGUGGCGAGUGGCGAACGGGUGAGUAAUAUAUCGGAACGUGCCCAGUAGUGGGGGAUAGCCCGGCGAAAGCCGGAUUAAUACCGCAUACGACCUGAGGGUGAAAGCGGGGGAUCGCAAGACCUCGCGCUAUUGGAGCGGCCGAUAUCAGAUUAGCUAGUUGGUGGGGUAAAGGCCUACCAAGGCUACGAUCUGUAGUUGGUCUGAGAGGACGACCAGCCACACUGGGACUGAGACACGGCCCAGACUCCUACGGGAGGCAGCAGUGGGGAAUUUUGGACAAUGGGCGCAAGCCUGAUCCAGCAAUGCCGCGUGCAGGAAGAAGGCCUCGGGUUGUAAACUGCUUUGUCUAGGAGAAAUCUUCUGGGCUAAUACCCCGGGAGGAUGACGGUACCUGAAGAAUAAGACACCGGCUAACUACGUGCCAGCAGCCGAC